rnacentral:rRNA from 1 species
CCUACGGGUGGCAGCAGUGGGGAAUAUUGCACAAUGGGGGGAACUCUGACCCAGCAACGCCGCGUGAAGGAUGAAGGUUUUCGGAUUGUAAACUUCUGUCGCGAGGGAUGAAGAAUGACGGUACCUCGUAAGAAAGCCCCGGCAAACUACGUGCCAGCAGCCGGGGUAAUACGUAGGGAGCGAGCGUUGUACGGAAUGACUGGGCGUAAAGGGAGUGUAGGCGGCAUAUUAAGUUAUGUGUGAAAGCCGGCGGGUCAACCGCGGAAUUGCACAUAAAACUGGUAAGCUGGAGUGAAGGAGAGGUAAGUGGAAUGCGCGGUGUAGCGGUGGAAUGCGUAGAUAUCGGGAGAAAUACCAGUGGCGAAGGCGACUUACUGGACUGUAACUGACGCUGAGGCUCGAAAGCGUGGGGAGCAAACAGGAUUAGAUACCCUGGUAGUC